rnacentral:rRNA from 1 species
UACGUAGGGUGCAAGCAUUAAUCGGAUUUAUUGGGCGUAAAGGGCGCGUAGGCGGGGAAGUUAGUCAGAUGUGAAAUCCCGGAGCUCAACUCCGGAACAGCAUUUGAAACUGCUUCUCUAGAGGGUAGGCGGAGAAAACGGAAUUCCACAAGUAGCGGUGAGAUGCGUAGAUAUGUGGAAGAACACCAGUGGCGAAGGCGGUUUUCUAGCUUACACCUGACGCUGAGGCGCGAAAGCAAGGGGAGCAAACAGG